rnacentral:rRNA from 1 species
GUCGGUAAAACUCGUGCCAGCCACCGCGGUUACACGAGAGGCUCGAGCUGAUGGACAACGGCGUAAAGUGUGGUUAAGGGAAUACAAAUACACUAAAGUCGAACAUUUUCAAGGCCGUUACAGGCUUAUACGAAAUUUGGAAUAUCAAUUACGAAAGUAGCUUUAUAUCCCCCGAACCCACGAAACGCUGAGAAACAAACUGGGAUUAGAUACCCCACUAUG